AAAUCGCAGGAGCUCUCAUCUCUCAUCGGAGUAUUCCAGAGAGUAAGGAAUUUCUCACCGGUGAAAAUGCUGUCCACGAUAAGCACGACAUGUAAGCGGAUGAUGAGCUCAGACCAGUUCACUGGAGUCGAUCCCAAAGAAAUGAGUCGAUCACAGCGCAACUUCGCAAAGAGACUGCAGACGGAGAAUGCUAAACGAGCCGAGGGAGUAACCCGGAUGAGAUCGAGCAACACGAAGUUAGGAUGGGGACUUGGAUUCGCCGUCUUGCUCAUCUUCGCCUACUCGAUGAACCGAGUGAAGACUGAGAAUUUUCUCGACGAGGAUUUCGAAUAAGAUUUAUUCUACUCGCUCGAUCGCUCUGAUAGUUAUGAAUUCCUGUGGAAAAUACUGUACCCUCUAAAUAUAAGUCGUUGACCUU